rnacentral:rRNA from 1 species
AGAGUUUGAUCCUGGCUCAGGAUGAACGCUAGCGACAGGCUUAACACAUGCAAGUCGAGGGGCAGCAAUUUGUAGCAAUACAAAGUUGGCGACCGGCGCACGGGUGAGUAACGCGUAUGCAACCUACCUACAACAGAAGAAUAAUCCGGCGAAAGUCGGUCUAAUACUUCAUAAAACAGGGACAUCGCAUGGUGUUAUUUGUUAAAGAUUUAUCGGUUGUAGAUGGGCAUGCGUACCAUUAGGUAGUUGGUGAGGUAACGGCCCACCAAGCCUACGAUGGUUAGGGGUUCUGAGAGGAAAGUCCCCCACACUGGUACUGAGACACGGACCAGACUCCUACGGGAGGCAGCAGUGAGGAAUAUUGGUCAAUGGGCGAGAGCCUGAACCAGCCAAGUCGCGUGAAGGAUGACAGCCCUAUGGGUUGUAAACUUCUUUUGCAGGGGAAUAAAGAUAUUCACGUGUGGGUAGUUGUAUGUACCCUGCGAAUAAGCAUCGGCUAACUCCGUGCCAGCAGCCGCGGUAAUACGGAGGAUGCGAGCGUUAUCCGGAUUUAUUGGGUUUAAAGGGUGCGUAGGUGGGCUGUUAAGUCAGUGGUGAAAGUUUGUCGCUCAACGAUAAAAUUGCCGUUGAAACUGGUGGUCUUGAGUAUGGAUGAAGUAGGCGGAAUGCGUGGUGUAGCGGUGAAAUGCAUAGAGAUCACGCAGAACUCCGAUUGCGAAGGCAGCUUACUAAGGCAUAACUGACACUGAAGCACGAAAGCGUGGGUAUCAAACAGGAUUAGAUACCCUGGUAGUCCACGCAGUAAACGAUGAUAACUGGGCGUAUGCGAUAUACAGUAUGCUCCUAAGCGAAAGCGUUAAGUUAUCCACCUGGGGAGUACGCCGGCAACGGUGAAACUCAAAGGAAUUGACGGGGGCCCG